GUCACAGCCCACACACUGCAGCCCUGUGCCCCUCACACCCAGCAGGUUCCUGCUCUAGCACAGCUCCUGGACUGGCCUCAGGUGCUGGCCCCGGGGUUUCGAUCCAAGCAUAAUUCAUGGAAGCAUGUGUUUGGCAGCGGGACCCAGCUCACUGUUUUAGGUCAGCCCAAGGCCACCCCCUCGGUCACUCUGUUCCUGCCAUCCUUUGAGGAGCUCCAAGCCAACAAGGCCACGCUGGUGUGUCUCAUGAGUGACUUCUAUCCGGGAAUCUUAACGGUGACCUGGAAGAUGGAUGGUACCCCCAUCACCCAGGGCGUGGAGAUGACCACACCCUCCAAACAGAGCAAGAAGUACACAGCCAGCAGCUACCUGAGCCUGAUGCCCGAGCAGUGGAGGUCCCGCAGAAGCUACAGCUGCCAGGUCACGCAUGAAGGGAGCACCGUGGAGAAGACAGUGGACCCUGCAGAAUGUUCGUAGGUUCCCAACCCUCACCCCAGCCACAGGGGCCUGGAGCUGCAGGAUCCCAGGGGAGGGGUCUCUCUGCAUCCCAAGCCAGCCAGCCCUUCUCCCUGUACCCAGUAAACCCUCAAUAAAUAUCCUCACGGUCAACCAGAAA